GGAGGGUGGAUCAAUAGAUCUGGUGCAAAAUGGAGACAUCAUAGUAAUUGACGGCUGAGGAGAUGGAGGAGCGAAGGAGAAAGUAGACCCCACCUGCAUACAAAGCUAACAGAGGAGCAAUGUGCAAGUUUAUCAAGAACGUGCAGUCGGCUUCAAGGGGUUUUGUAACUGAUGAGUAGCCAAAUACCCAAAUGAGAAAGCAUUUGAUUAAUCUGAAGCAAAAAAAGCUCUUCACUUUUCCAAUGCAUUUCAAGAUUUGGGCUCUUCUCCUUCCCUCCCAGAUAUAGGAGCGGUUAGAGAGUUUUCUAGGAGUUAAGUAUGAUUUGAGAGAUGUAUUUUCAUGGACUCUACUUCGACGGUCCGACCCUAAAGCAGAUCAUGUUACCUUGGAACCCCAAAAGAUUAAAACAAUUCAAAAUUGGCGGUGACUCUCUCUGUUAUGGAGGAAUGUUUUUUGCCUAUCAUUGACCCCAGAAGUAGUGUCAAUUUGAUAUGUCACAUCAUCUAUAGCUGUGGGUAAGAUCUUGUUCGUGCAAGAUAUUUAC